AAAAAAAUUUACCUAGCCAGAUGUAUUCAGAAGUAGAUAAACUUCAUUUAAGGUUAGGGUUAUUAUAUUGUCUGUUGCCCACAUAAUCUUAACAUUAUAAAUACGUCAGAGGAAGACACUGUCAUAAUACACAGCAUUUGGAGUACUAAACCACUUCUUUUAAGAUGAAGAGUUCUAAAAACAUAGUUCAAGUGUCUAAUUCGAGCAAAACCAGCGAGUUUCACUGGAAUACUGCAGGAGACGCCCUUUCUCCCUCUAGGGAUUACUGGGUUUUAGUAGAAAAGAAGUGAGGAUUGCCUGGGCUCUUUCUGUUCCUGAGGCCGUUUUGCAAUCACCUUUUUUUUUUUUUUUUUUUUUUUCACUUAAAAGGUUGCAGAGUUCUCAAGAACAGUCAGACUCACUGUUGAAGGACGCGAGUCCCGUGUGUUGAGCUAGUUUAGACCAUCUCCUUGUUCUCCUGGGUAACCUGGCGAAUGGACGCUGCCUGCUGUGCAGGCCGCUGAGCGACAGGUUGGGCGCUGGCCCUUGCAGCGCUUCGCGGGGGCGGACAGCAACAGGAGACAUUGGCUGUGGCGCGAUGCCGACCAGCAGGCGGGGAAGACACUGCUGUGAGAGCUGAGGCAGAAGAGGACUUGGCAGGCUGGGCGCCGAGCUCACGAGGGGCCCUGGCUUCAACGCUGAGGCGCGGACGCCAAAAAGGCUGCGAGAGGCGAGACCGGCGAUGUUGG
rnacentral:lncRNA from 1 species